rnacentral:rRNA from 1 species
CAAUAGCGUAUAUUUAAGUUGCUGCAGUUAAAAAGCUCGUAGUUGGAUUUCGGGUGGGAAUGGCCGGUCCGCCGUUUCGGUGUGCACUUGCUACGCCCACCUUGCUGCCGGGGACGUGCUCUUGAGUUCACGCUCGGGACACGGAGUCGGCGAGGUUACUUUGAGUAAAUUAGAGUGUUCAAAGCAGGCCUACGCUCUGAAUACAUUAGCAUGGAAUAACACGAUAGGACUCUGGCCUAUCUUGUUGGUCUGUAGGACCGGAGUAAUGAUUAAGAGGGACAGUCGGGGGCAUUCGUAUUUCAUUGUCAGAGGUGAAAUUCUUGGAUUUACGAAAGAUAAACUUCUGCGAAAGCAUUCGGCAAGGAUGUUUUCAUUGA